rnacentral:rRNA from 1 species
UUACGGCCUGGGCUACACACGUGCUACAAUGGUCGGUACAAAGGGUUGGCCAAGCCGCGAGGUGGAGCUAAUACCCAUAAAACCGAUCGUAGUCCGGAUCGCAGUCUGCAACUCGACUGCGUGAAGUCGGAAUCGCUAGUAAUCGUGAAUCAGAAUGUCACGGUGAAUUACCGGUUCCCGGGCCUU